rnacentral:rRNA from 1 species
CACGUAGGGCGCAAGCGUUUGUCCGGAAUUAUUGGGCGUAAAGAGCUACGUAGGUGGUUUGUUACGUCGCUGUGAAAACCUAGGGCUUAACCCUGGGCUUGCAGUGGAUACGGGCAGACUAGAGGUAGGUAGGGGAGAACGGAAUUCCUGGUGUAGCGGUGAAAUGGCGCAGAUAUCAGGAGGAACACCGAUGGCGAAGGCAGGUCUCUGGGCCACUACUGACGCUGAGAAGCGAAAGCAUGGGAGCGAACAGG